UUUGAAAAUCUCGAGACUGAGAUGACCCUUCAAGAUCUGCCAAAAGUUCCUUUUGCAGCACCAGCUACUGAAGUACAAGAAGAGAAGUUGGACCUUCCUGAUGUUCCAACCCAUGCACCAGCCAUUCCUGAAGCAGUGGCAGAUUCUGCACCGAGAAAAGUUAUGGAGGAACCAUUACCUGCUUGAUGAUGACCCUGCAACUUGCAUCCAGAUGCCACAUUAUAACUGUUUUGCAAUAUUUGUUUGAAAUUUGAAAAGAUUAACAUACUUGUGUAUAAUAUAUUGUUCAGUUUCGUGGUGACAGUACUUACCUAUCAAAUUGUGUACAGUAGUAUUUAUUUUGGUUAACGAACGACUCUUUGUAUCUCCUGCUGAGGGGAUGAAAUAUUACUUUCUUUCUUUGUAAUUGUUGAAGCACAUUGAUUCAGUAUGGUA